UUUCCCUCGGGCGAUACAGUUGUUAUAUCGAUAUUGUGUAUAACUGUAUGGUUCUAGGGGUAAACAACCUUACAAUUAUAACUUAAGCGUUGAUAUAUAAGUUCGGAAAGAUGUGGUCUUUUUUUUUAUAAAUUUAAGCAUUAAGACAAGGUAUGAUAUAUUUUUCUUUUUCGAAUAGGAAGGGUUCUGUUCUUUUUAUAUAGUAGUGUUUACUAAGUUAACCAUAGGGUCAAAACUACUAAUGAUGGACUGUAAGUUCUAAGCAGUUUCGUCAUAUCAGUAGUCAGACACUGAAAGGGGUUAUCGCAUAACUUUUGUCGAGCGGUCCACUUUUGUCACAGAAAGCUCGACAUAGUAUUAGUGAUCCGGCGGCGGCGUUUAGAAAUUUAUUAAAAGCUUUAUUUUUUAGAAGGUGGAAGACCUGGAUGCUUCAUACUUUGAAUAAAGAUGCCUUGCGUUAUGAAGUAUCCGUCACAUGUCCAUUGUUCAUAACCUCAUUUUCAUGUUUCAGUGACUACUUAAAUAAAAAAGGUUAAACAUGUUUGUAAUUUCUCUCUUAUCAUGAGUAAUAGGAUAAUUGGCAUGUGCGUACCUUGCAAGGUAUCAAUGCCCGUCAGAAUGUUUUCACUUGUCCCCGACCUCAUUUCAUAGAUCAGUGAACAAGGUUAAGUUUUGGUGGUCAAGUUCAUAUCUCAGAUACUACUAGUAUAAGCAAUAUAUUUGGUGUAUGGAAAGGUUGUAAGGUUUAUAUGUCCAACUGGCUGGCGUCAUCUGACUGGGUCGUUGCCAUUGUUGGUGUACGUUCCCGAUGGUAUCACCAGCCCAAUAUUCAGCCAUUCGAUGUUGACAUGCAUAUCAAUUAUAUGGUCAUUUUUAUAAAUUUCCUGUUUACAUAAGUAAGUUUCUUAUCCCAUAUGUAGAUUACCUUAGCCGUAUUUGGCACAUUUUUGGGGGAAGUUUUGAUCCGAAAUACUCUUCAACUUUUUACUUGUUUGGCUUUAUAACCAAUUUGAUCUAGGUGUCACUGAUGAGUCUUAUGUAGACUAAACGCGUGUCUGGCGUAUUAAAUUAUAAGCAUGGUACCUUUGAUAACUAUUGACGUCAUUUUCGUGGUUCAGUAGAUUUGGUUAAGAUUUUAUGUAUUGGUCUGUUUUUCUUAUACUGUAGCCAAUAAGUGUACUAUAUAUGGUGUAUUGAAUAAUUGUAAGGUCUACAUAGGUUAACUAUAUGUGUUGUAUGAAAAUAUUUGACAGUGUAAAUGUUAGUCUGGCAGGUUUUAUUCGACCUCGACCUCAUUUUUUACGGUUUAUUGAGUCAAUGUUAAUUUUUUUAAAGUAAUAGGUUAACUAUUUUUGGGGUAUUGAAUGAUUGUAAGGUGUAUAUGUCUGUCUGGCAGUGUUCAUUCGACUUUAGCCUCAUAUUUUUGGUUCAUUGAUCAAUGUUAAGUUUUCCUGGUUAAGUUGGUUUCUUCGAUUUGCAAAAGCUCGACUUUAUUUCAACCAUAUUUGGUGUAAGGAAUGAUUGUAAGGUGUAUACACAUACUUCAGUCUGGGUUUGGAUUAUGUUAAUUGAAUUUGAUAGUUGUAAUAAAGCUUUAUUUUUAGAGCUAUCAAUAUAAUAUCAAUGGUUAGUAAAGGAGGCGAAUUAUUUCAGCGUGUGCACUCUUGUCUAAAUUUUGAGAAAAAAAUUAAGAAAUUAUUUUUAAAAAAAGGUACUAAAUCUAUCAGAUUAAGUUGAUUUUAGAUGUUUUGUUUUUGUUUUUGCUUUUAUUUUUAUUUGUAUUUUAACGGCACUUGUUGAAAUGAGGCGUAAUCCACAUUUUUAGUUUUUCAAAAUGUUAUUAGUAUAUCCAGGAACAUAUAUUUGAAAUACUGUUCACAGUAUAUCUUAUUGUUAUUUUUAUUUCACGAAGUUGAAGUGGUAAAAACACGUCACAUCACUUCAUCACUUACACUUAAUUCUUUCAUAACUUUAUCAUACAUUUUUAUAUUGUCGGUAUAUAACUUGUAUGUAAUUGUGACUGCAUGGAACAAGUCAAAUUAAUUCGCAAUUAAGGUCCAAAAUUAUGCCUUUGUAAUUAUUACAAGUAGUGCUUACUAUAUUAUAAAUGUAACUAUAAUGUAACUAUAAUGUAGUGUUAUAUAGUUUGGAAACCUAGGAUUGAUUUGUGGAGUUAAUUUGAUCUUAAACUGAACUUAUCUUAUAUAAAUUACGAUCUUACAAGAAUAUACAUAUAUUUACCAUAGUGGUAAACAUUUCUGAUACUAUCCAAAAUAAUACGAAAUUAAAUACUUAAGAAGACAGAAAAAAGGUUACAUCACAGUAAGGAUUACCCCCUCUCCAACCCCUACGAUAAAGUGAAACAAUCAAUUACAUCAACAUCAUGUUGUUCAAGAAAAUUACAUACCAAUUGGACUUUAAGGCAAUUGCGAUCCGGUGUAAAAGGUUUAGGGGAAUUCCACUACCGGAUAUAUUUACAAUAUAUAUAGUCUGGAAAAAUCUUUGAUUUUAUAUCUAAGAGAAUCAUCAAGGUAAGCGAAACGAUGUUAUUUUAAACAUGCCUGAAUAUUAAAGAAAAAUGUACAAUAUCAAGUGCAUUUAUAAUGUAAAACUGCCGCAUAAAGAUAUAUUUUGUAUAUUAAUUUUAUUUUCUUAACGAAAACAAGAGUCGAUUACAUGAUUCUGCCUAUAUGUGCUAAUUGAAAAAAAAUAAAAUUCUACGCAGACUAUUUUGAAAAUAUUGUUAUUACCGUUUUGGUGAAUAACUUCAAGCAAAAUAAAGAAAUAAGCCAGAAAUUAAAAUCAAAUUUUGAUGUGGCUCGUAACAAAUCGAGACGAGAAAUAACAAUCUAGAUUAUUUUUGUUAUUACAUGGAUUUUUACAGGUCAGUGAAUACAAGAUGCAUUGUUUGUGUCCAAUUUUAAUUGCCUUUGCACUGGUUGAGUAUUCCUAUGGAGCUACCAAAACUAAGUGCCAAGUUGUACAAGCACUACGCAAUCAGAAUGUACCAGAUAGUGAUCUUAGAGACUGUGAGUAUGAUCAGCUGUUAAUAGUCAUUGCAGAUCUUAUUACAAUGUAUCGGUUUUGAAAAUUUUUGAAUCCAUAAUUUAUUUUUUGAAACACAAGCAAAAUAGUUUCUUGUCGAGAACGAUUUUCACAAUAUCAAAAACAUAUUCCCUAUUCACUGCAAUUUAACAAUUUUUUUUAAUAAGAAGUAAAAUAACAAAACAAAAAAGACUGAAGGGAUAAUUCAAAACGGAAAGUCCCUUAUCAAAUAACAAAAUCAAGAGCUUAAACACAUCAAAUGCAUUAAGAAACAACUGCUAUAUUCAUAAUUUGGUGUAGUUAUUUACUUCUGCAGAUUAUGGUGGAUUAAACCUGGUUUCAUAGCUAACUUAGGUUGGUCCCCUCCGUAAAACAUUCAGUAUGCCUUCGGAAUAUACAAAUAUUAUUGUCAAGAAUUUCAAUAACGGCCGGGAAACAGACUAUAGCUAACUAAACCUCUCACUAUGACAUCGCGUAAAAUGCCAUAAUAUUGACGACGACGUGUGAGCAAAUUCAAAAGAAAAAUAGGUUAAACUGUAAAAACAAAAGUGUGAUAACAUAGAAUUUCAGAAUUUUUACUCCUUGAAUUAUUUUUGCAUUCAAAAUUACAUACAAAAUGCAGCAUCUACAAAUAAACCUGGACACAUGUAUAAUGACUGAAACAUGGAAUUUGCAAGCGCAGUAUAUUUCAGUCUGAACCACAAGUUUUCCUGUAAUAAGACAUUUUCGUUUCUUUUUUAAAAUAUGGAGGUCAUGCUGUAUACAUUGUCUGUCCUUGUGUAAAACUGGCUUAUCCCAAUCACAUUUUUUGCAUAUAUCAACGCCAGUACUGUUUAGCUCAUAUGUAGUUUUGUGACGUUUAUACGUCUUUUUUCUGAAGGAGACGGGUGUUAGUCGCUGUUGUGGUCUGUUGAACUGUCAAUUAUUAUAAUCAUUGUGAUAUUUCUUCAUGUUUCAUAUUACAACACCUCACAAUUAAGUUAAGGUGGUAUUGGGGUCUAACAUAAAAAGGAUAGCAUAUGUUCAUAGUAUCUAUUGAUGUAUGUUGAAAAAUAUAAUAAAAAUGAUAGGUCACCGUGCAUUUUCUCAAGCUACAGGACGUGACAAAAUAACACAUUUUGUAUGGAUUAUACAGGAAAAAACACCAUUUUGUGAUUAGAAACUAAACAAAAUGAUAGAAUUGUUAAAUACUUAAGGAAAAGAUAGCUUUCAGACAAUGCUUUGAGAAUAUCAAAAGAAAAGAUAGGGUCACCGUACGUUUUUUCCGGCUAAAAUACAAAAUAGGAAUAUUCCAUGGAUUUGUUAUAACAUAAACCACACGACGGGUGCCACAUGUGGAGUAGGAUCUGCUCACCCUUUAGGAGCACCUGAGAUCACCCCUAUUUUUUAGUGGAGUUCGUGUUGCUUAUUCUUUUGCUUUCUAUGUUGUGUCAUGUGUUCUAUUGUUUGUCUGUCUGUUUGUUUUCUUUCAUUUUAGCCAGGCGUUGUCAGUUUAUUUUCGAUUUAUGAGUUUGACAUUUCCUUCAGAAAAUGCACUGUUUUAGAGUUACCUCCCCUUGAAAUUCCAAUUUAAAAACAUUUAAAAACAACCAUAAAUAAUCUACACGUGUAAAAAAUUAAUAUGUAUAAGUUAUAUUCUUAUAAAUUGGUUCUUUUAAAUAAAAAUUGACAUUAAAUAUCUGCAUUCCUGCAUCAAAUUUUGCUAACUUGAUAGAAAUCUGGACGUUAGGUUCUCUGUUUUUUAUAAUCUAAGAUGGCGGAAGACACCCAUACCACCUUAACAGUACAAAUAGUAAAGUUAUCAAUGUUUACUCUUUCAGGGCUGUGUUUGGUAAAACAAAU
rnacentral:lncRNA from 1 species